rnacentral:ncRNA from 1 species
AAAAAGUUUUAUUUUGGCUUGAAAUAUUAGUUUAUAAUUUUUUUAUAUAUGUAAGUUUUAGCGUUUAUUAUUGAAAAUUUAAAAAAUUUUUGGUUUAAAAAUUAUUCGCAGUUUUUAGUUUUUUAUAUUUAAGAAAUUAAGAUUAAGAAAUUUAUUUUAAUAUUAACAAAAUUUGUGCCAGCAGUUGCGGUUAUACAAAUAAUGUAAUUAAUAUUUAUUAAUUAAUAAUUAAUUAAUUAUUAUUUAUAAAUAAAAUUUUAGUUUAUUAAGUGAAAUUUUAAAUUAAGUAAAAUUUAUAAUUAAUAUUUUGAAGUUAUUAAAUUUUUUUGAUAAACUAGGAUUAGAUACCCUAUUAUUUAAAAUGUAAAUUUUUAUGUUAAAUUAGUAUUAGUUAUUUUCUUGAAAAUUAAAAAAUUUGGCGGUAUUUUAGUCUUUUCAGAGGAACCUGUUCUAUAAUCGAUAUUCCACGAUUAAUUGUACUUAUUUUAUUAGUUUAUAUAUCGUCGUAGUUUGAAUAUUUUAUAAGAAAUUAAAUAUUCAAGAUUUAUUAUUAUAAAUAAAAUCAGAUCAAGGUAUAGCUUAUAAAUAAGAAGAAAUGGGUUACAAUAAAAUUAUUUAAACGAAUUUAAAAAUUAAAAUUUUUUAUGAAGGUGGAUUUGAAAGUAAUAUAAUUUAUUUAAAUUAUAUGAUUUAAGCUCUAAAAUAUGUACAUAUCGCCCGUCGCUCUCAUAUAAAAUGAGAUAAGUCGUAACAAAGUAGAUGUACUGGAAAGUGUAUCUAGAAUGAU